UGAGUGAUGAAGGUUUUCGGAUCGUAAAGCUCUGUUGUUAGGGAAGAACAAGUACCGUUCGAAUAGGGCGGUACCUUGACGGUNCCUAACCANAAAGCCACGGCUAACUACGUGCCAGCAGCCGCGGUAAUACNUAGGUGGCAAGCGUUGUCCGGAAUUAUUGGGCGUAAAGGGCUCGCAGGCGGUUCCUUAAGUCUGAUGUGAAAGCCCCCGGCUCAUCCGGGGAGGGUCAUUGGAAACUGGGGAACUUGAGUGCAG
rnacentral:rRNA from 1 species